UGUGUGAACAAAAAUGCCUUGUUGAUGUCAGAGGUCAGAGGAGAAUGAGCAGACUGGUAAGAGAUGAUAGAAAGGCAACAGUAACUCAAAUAACCACUUGUUACAACCAAGGGAGAAUACUAUCUCUGAACAAUGCUCCUAUCAGCUAAGAACUGGAAACUGAGGCUACAGUUUGCAAAGGCUCACCAAAAUUAAACAAUAGAAGAUUGGAAAAUAACGUUGUCUGGUCUGAUGAGUAUGGACUUCUGCUGCAAAAUUCAGAUGGUAGGGUCAGAAUUUGGCAUUAAGAAUAUUAAAGCAUGGAUCCAUCCUGUCUUGUCUCAACGGUCAGGCUGCUGGUGGUGGUGUAAUGGUGUGGGGGAUAUUUUCUUAGCACAAUUUGGGCUCCUUAGUACCAAUUGAGCAUUGUUUAAAUGCCACGGCCUACCUGAGUGUCGUAGCUGACCAUGUCCAUCUCUUUAUGACUACAGUGUACCUAUCUUCUGAUGGCUACUUCCAACAGGAUAAUGCACCAUGUCACAAAGCUCAAAUCAUCUCAGACUGGUUUCUUGUACAUGAAAAUGAAUCACUUUACUCAAAUGGCCUCCACAGUCAACAGAUCUCAAUCCAAUAGAGCAACUUUGAGAUUUGGAGGAACGAGAGAUUCACAUAAUGAUGCAUGAUGCUAUCAUGUCAAUAUGGACCAAAAUCUCAGAGGAAUGUUUCCAACACCUUGUUAAAUCUAUUAAUUUAUUUAGUCAUCAGGUGUUGAGAUGAAGAUAAUUUGUACAGUAGGACUUACAAAACAUCUGGCAUUACAAGUGCUUAAAAGAAAUAAAGAUAAGGCUAUGAACAGGAGAAAAGUAUAAAGGGUUGGUAUCACGUGAGCCCAUGCAUGGUGAUGUAGGAGCAGGCAUAAACACUUCCUCUAAGAUUGUUUUAAGAAUGAACGCCACUCAUUUGUGGCAGGAAGUUUGGCUUCCCUCAUGUGAUCAAGUGUUGAUAUGAAAGUAACACAGAUUUGAGCAUUCAAGUUCAUUCUAGUUCAUGACCUCUGCUUCAAGAAAAAAGGCUCUUCGACUUAUAGCAUUAGUGCCUUUGUGCUCAGAGAAUGAAGGAUCAGUAUAAUGUUGUUAAUAUAUGAACAUCCACAUGUCUAUAUGAUAGUCUGCUGAAGUCUGUUCAUAGUAAAGUCUUUCUUUCUAUUCUUGGUAUCAUGUGCUCAAAUGCUGGUGUCUUGCUCAGACAUCAGACUUUCCUUCCUCAGAUCGAAAGUCUGUGGCUCCUCUCUACUCCCAGAUAUAAAUUUCAAAAAAGGACCCUUGUAAUCCUGAAGACCUUGAUUAUCUGCUUGAGCCCGUGCUUGACCUUCUGGACCUACAUCACAUUAACAUAAGGAACCAAAAAACUAGCCCAAACUAACUGCAUUUCUAAGGUGGGUUCCCUUGUAAAAAUCACAUCCCAGGCACUUUAUUUACAUUAUUGUGUUCGAACAUGAAAAGCAGCCCGUGGUAACAGUGAUAAAGUAUCCCAAUUCCACAAGAGAACCACAGAUUUGGCAACACUGUAGACAAAUGGAGACCAGAUUCAAUGAUCUCACUGCUGAGAAAAGCCUGUUACAGAGCAACCUCAACUCUUCAAAUUAGAAGAAACUGGACUUCUGCUGGAGACCAGAGUCAAUGAUCUUACGAAAGGCCAGUUGGAGACCAGAUUCAAUGAUCUCACUGCUGAGAAAAGCCAGUUACAGAGCAACUUCAACUCUUCAAAUUGGAACAUACUGGAGCUGGAGACCAGAGUCAAUGAUCUUACGAAAGGCCAGUUGGAGACCAGAUUCAAUGAUCUCACUGCUGAGAAAAGCUAGUUACAGAGCAAUCCCAACUCUUCAAAUUAGAAGAAACUGGACUUCGGCUGGAGACCAGAGUCAAUGAUCUUACGAAAGGCCAGUUCGAGACCACCAGAUUCAAUGAUCUCACUGCUGAGAAAAGCCAGUUACAGAGCAACUUCAACUCUUCAAAUUAGAAGAAACUGGAGCUGGAGACCAGAGUCAAUGAUCUUACGAAAGGUCAGUUGGAGACCAGAUUCAAUGAUCUCACUGCUGAGAAAAACCAGUUACAGAGCAACUUCAACUCUUCAAAUUAGAAGAAACUGGAGCUGGAGACCAGAGUCAAUGAUCUUACGAAAGGUCAGUUGGAGACCAGAUUCAAUGAUCUCACUGCUGAGAAAAGCCAGUUACAGAGCAACUUCAACUCUUCAAAUUAGAAGAAACUGGAGCUGGAGACCAGAGUCAAUGAUCUUACGAAAGGUCAGUUGGAGACCAGAUUCAAUGAUCUCACUGCUGAGAAAAACCAGUUACAGAGCAACUUCAACUCUUCAAAUUAGAAGAAACUGGAGCUGGAGACCAGAGUCAAUGAUCUUACGAAAGGUCAGUUGGAGACCAGAUUCAAUGAUUUCACUGCUGAGAAAAGCCAGUUACAGAGCAACCCCAACUCUUCAAAUUAGAAGAAACUGGACUUCGGCUGGAGACCAGAGUCAAUGAUCUUACGAAAGGCCAGUUGGAGACCAGAUUCAAUGAUCUCACUGCUGAGAAAAGCCAGUUACAGAGCAACUUCAACUCUUCAAAUUAGAAGAAACUGGAGCUGGAUACCAGAGUCAAUGAUCUUACGAAAGGUCAGUUGGAGACCAGAUUCAAUGAUCUCACUGCUGAGAAAAGCCAGUUACAGAGCAACCCCAACUCUUCAAAUUAGAAGAAACUGGACUUCGGCUGGAGACCAGAGUCAAUGAUCUUACGAAAUGCCAGUUGGAGACCAGAUUCAAUGAUCUCACUGCUGAGAAAAGCCAGUUACAGAGCAACUUCAACUCUUCGAAUUAGAAGAAACUGGAGCUGGAUACCAGAGUCAAUGAUCUUACGAAAGGUCAGUUGGAGACCAGAUUCAAUGAUCUCACUGCUGAGAAAAACCAGUUACAGAGCAACUUCAACUCUUCAAAUUAGAAGAAACUGGAGCUGGAGACCAGAGUCAAUAAUAUUAUGAAAGGUCAGUUGGAGACCACCAGAAUCAAUGAUACCACUGCUGAGAAAAGCCAGUUACAGAGCAACUUCAACUCUUCAAAUUAGAAGAAACUUGAGCUGGAGACCAGAGUCAAUAAUAUUACGAAAGGUCAGUUGGAGACCACCAGAUUCAAUGAUCUCACUGCUGAGAAAAGACAGUUACACAGCAACUUCAAAUCUUUAAGUCAGAAGAAUCUUGUUGAAAUCAAUAAGGUUCAUAUCUUCAUCCAUCAAGGACAGGGUGAGGAUUGGUUUGUCUGACAGAGAGCAGGAGGGCAACUUGAAAUGGGUGGAUAAUUCACCACUAAAACAACGAAACAAAACCCAGAGACUGUGUGAUUCCUCAGAUCCAUGACAAACGAAAAUACACUACAUUUGGCGACCCCGGCAGGACUUGAAAAGAGCAGCAGAGUGGACGACCGCUUUUGAGCUGACUGAUGAGCAACACACACUCACAGUGGUGGUCACCAUAUAAUAAGGUAAGCAUUUUUGCUUAUAUAAUUAGUGUGUGUUGUUGGCUGGUCAGUUCUGAGAGGUAAGGUCACUUAAAAUCUGCUCUUCCAAAUUUAGAACUAAUUAAAUAAAUACAAAUGGGGGGUUUUGUUUCCAGAAGAAAAACUGCAUACACAUAUUUGGUUUACUGAAAGGUCUUUUGGAAAAGGCCUGAUUUUAAUCUGGAUAGUGUAGGCAGAAAUACAUUGCAUGCAAUGGUCUGUGUUCAUUGUGGGCUUGCCCUAUAAGAGACAGCAAUACACGUGAGCCAGAUGUAGUAUGGAAAGCGCGGAAAAGUCCUUUGGCUACCGCUCUGUAUAUGUGAGAUACAGAGGUCUGAAACGGGAAGGCAGAAAUCCUGUAAAGUACUGCUUUUUACUGUGUUGAGGAAGUGUAUCAGUGAAAGAGCGAGUAGAGCUGACAGGUCACUCAGAGGAGUGUAGAGUACUCUGUAUUUAUGUACGUUUUAAUGUAAGUGUCUGUGUGACUGGCUGUGUUUGUAUGAGAAAAUUCUAUAUCUGGUGGAGCAAGAGGUGCUCUCCGCUCCUGGACCAUCACUUGAGAGUGAUUAGGUUACAGAGACAGAGUGGCUGGUGUUAAGAAAAGAUGAGUGUAGGAGCCCUAAAACAAAGUUAAUUGUAUCAAUGUUGUUUUAGAGAAAAAAUAAAUAAAAAUGUUCCAAGAAAUGGACUGUGCAGAAUAUAAUAAUAAUAAUAAUAAUAAUAUAUUAAGUAAAAUAAGAUUUUAAUUUAUUAUUUAAUAACUUGUCUUAAUAGAUGAAUUUAAAAGAUGCACAUGCUUAAAACUUUAUAUCUAAUAUGUGAAGACAUCUUAAAUUUGUAUCUUGUUAUCCCUGGGACACAGUAUGAAAAUUAAUCCAUUACAGAGUUUCAGAGAUUGGGCUUGAGUUAAAAAAAAUAAAAUAAAAUAAGAAUAACUGGUGUAGUGCAAUGUGGAAUGAGAGCAAGAUUGGGUGACCAAGUUAAUGGGAAUUUUGAUUCAAAAGCCAUAGGCAUUUUACAAUAGGAAGGGAACUAGUUGCUUAAAUAUUUAAAUUAAAUUAUUUUAUUUACAAUAAUAGGAAUUAUUUUAUGUUGGUUAGGAAACAUUAAUUCACCAAUACCAGAUUAUUCUGAAUCAUGUAUGCAAAUAUAGAAGAAAAACUGUAUGUAUGCAAACAUAGAAGAAAAACUAUGAUUGAAGUCUUUAUUUUACCAUACGCAUGUCAUGCUGUUAUAAAAGGAAGGUUUAUAUUUUUUUAUUGCAGUAUAAUUAGAUAAUAAAGGUAGCUGAUUUCUGCAUUUUGCAAAGAAGAAAAAAAAUGCUUGCUAUUUUUUUGCAAUGAAGAACUUGCUUUACUAACAUAGAAUAAGAGAACUGCUGUUUUCAACCAGAUGAUUUUAUUUUUACUAAGGUAGCACUGAAAGAGGAGGUUGAAAAGUGAAAAUCAUACAAAGAGCUUACUGCUCAGAAACAAUUUGGUCAGAAGUUACAAAGAUACAUUUGAUUAAUGCAGUCUCUGAGUGUGAAAAUUUGAUGACUUCUGGAACAGUGCCUUGACAAAAAGACGCAAUGAACUGGAGUCUGUCGAGAAAUGGCAAAGCAGCAAACACAGCUGCAAAGAGAAAAAGAGGGAGGGGCUGAUGGACGCUAUACCCUCCUGAAAGAGAAGAACACACUUCAGCAAGGAGAAAGACUGAAUUAAAGCAGGAAAAGGUGAAUCUUUCACUUGAGACUUUUCAUGAGGGUGAAGAGAACAUUGUGAACUGCAGAACUCUGGCAGAAAGCAACCAGAAGCCAGACUGAGAAGAAGCAGAGAAACAACGGAGACCAUACACCACAACAUCACAGACUGAUGACCCAGUACAACAGCCCAGGCUGAUGAUCUAACCAGAAGGACUUCCAUCCCUUCAGUGCACAGGUGCUGCAUAUUCAAUGAACACUAUAGAGACCGCUAACUCUCUCAAUCUACUUUUCAAUAGGUACCAGUCCAGCCUUAUGUCUUAAAGAAAAAAUAAUUUUGACAGACAGAAGUGAGUACUUGACUCACCAAUCAGAUAAACAUGGAGCUGGAUUUGGCAUAGUAAGGCCUAUUUCAUUAACCAACUAGGGGAAAA